GGGGACUUGGCGCAGUCGGUAGCGCGUAGGUCUCAUAAUCCUAAGGUCGUGAGUUCGAUCCUCACAGUCCCCA
rfam:Naegleria gruberi genomic scaffold NAEGRscaffold_67, whole genome shotgun sequence.